rnacentral:rRNA from 1 species
AUGAUUGGUUGUAUAAUUUAAGAACGAAGUAUCAUGUGAAGUUUCAUGUUCGCCUUAUUUAAA